UCAAAAUAUAUCAAUGGAAACUCCCGUGCUCAUUUCAUUACUAAGAUACGUUGGUCUGUGUCAAAGGUGAUGGUUACAAUUUUCAUAAAGUGAAGAUUAUUCUCCUGUCUCAUAAUACAAGUUCUGUGCUUCUCAAACUACCCAGGACCUUUACAUGUCUUGGGUCAUCGGGAAGCUGCCUUCCCACAGGAACCUCCAAGGACCCCAAAUCCUGGCAACACUUCCCAGCCUCUUGCCCUUGUGCUCAGUGCAUUGUGAUCAAUAAGAUAUUUUGGAGGAAAUCAAUCCCUUUAGAGCAGCCAUCCAAACACACGCAUGACUAAUAGAGUUAACCCUUCCUAGAACUAUUGCAUUUCAGAGAGAACUUGUAACCUCAACUGAAUUAUCUACUAACGCAACAGACAGCCGGCUGAUGUCCGCCUGAGAAGAGAAGGUUUGGGCAGACAAGGUGGCAGCAGAGGCCACACUGGGACACCCAAGAAGGCAGCGCCAGCGAGACAAGGAGCCAGGCUCAGGAGAAACUCAUCCUGCCUUCUCCUUGACCUUCCACUUCCAGCCUCCAAAACUAGAAACAUCAUGAGGUAUUGAUGGUGAAGAGAUCCCUAACGUCCCAGACUGGUUUCCAGCAACAUGAGGGAGUUAGGGAAAGCAGAGAGAAAUUUAACACAGACUGAGAAGAAAGUGAUGUGAAGGUGAAGAAGAGAGACCUGUGAAGAUGUGGGCUCUGACCACAAAUCAUGGAAAACCAGUG